rnacentral:rRNA from 1 species
AAUUUUGUACAAUGGGGGAAACCGUGAUCCAGCCAUCCCACGUGGGUGAUGCAGGGCUUCGGGUUGUAAAGUACUUUUGGUCGGGAAGAAAAGGUUCUGACAAAUAAUCAGAACUGCUGACGGUACCUGCAGAAUAAGCACCCGAAAACUCAGUGCCAGCCGCCGCGGUAGUACGUAGGGUGCAAGCGUUAAUCGGAAUUACUGGGCGUAAAGCGUGCGCAGGCGGUUUGGCAAGAAGGAUGUGAAAGCCCGGGGCUUAACCUCGCAACUGCAUUCUUAACUGCCAGGCUAGAGUAUGUCAGAGGGGGGUAGAAUUCCACGUGUAGCAGUGAAAUGCGUAGAGAUGUGGAGGAAUACCGAUGGCGAAGGCAGCCCCCUGGGGUAAUACUGACGCUCAUGCACGAACGCGUGGGGAGCAAACA